rnacentral:rRNA from 1 species
UAGGGAAUCUUCCACAAUGGACGCAAGUCUGAUGGAGCAACGCCGCGUGAGUGAAGAAGGUCUUCGGAUCGUAAAGCUCUGUUGUUGGUGAAGAAGGAUAGAGGCAGUAACUGGUCUUUAUUUGACGGUAAUCAACCAGAAAGUCACGGCUAACUACGUGCCAGCAGCCGCGGUAAUACGUAGGUGGCAAGCGUUGUCCGGAUUUAUUGGGCGUAAAGCGAGCGCAGGCGGAAUGAUAAGUCUGAUGUGAAAGCCCACGGCUCAACCGUGGAACUGCAUCGGAAACUGUCAUUCUUGAGUGCAGAAGAGGAGAGUGGAACUCCAUGUGUAGCGGUGGAAUGCGUAGAUAUAUGGAAGAACACCAGUGGCGAAGGCGGCUCUCUGGUCUGCAACUGACGCUGAGGCUCGAAAGCAUGGGUAGCGAACAGGAUUAGAUACCCUGGUAGUCCAUGCCGUAAACGAUGAGCGCUAGGUGUUGGGGACUUUCCGGUUCUCAGUGCCGCAGCAAACGCGUUAAGCGCUCCGCCUGGGGAGUACGACCGCAAGGUUGAAAC